UUUUAUCAACUAGCAGUCUGUGUUACGUGAUAAUGCUGUAAAUUGAAUGUAUGUGGUGGUUUCCGUUUUAGACAUUUGCUUUGUUGUUGAGGAGAGAACGCAAGUACUCUAUGAAUAUUAUAAAAAUGUGCUGUUGCCCGUUGAGAUAACUAACUGUACAGAGGGGUUCACUAACUCUCUACUUCAGUAGCUAAUUAGCUAGCAAUGAGAUGAUCCUUGUUUCUUCAUAGAAACAACUACCAAGCUAGCUAGCGCUCUAAUUUAGCUAACUUUGAUUUUUGGUCAGUACUUACUUAAAGCAGCAGUUUCGAAACCUCGGGAAUUCACCUACUGCUUGGCUAAAAUAUACCCAUUUUCUGAGGCUCUCAACAAAAACGGCCUAAGUAUGGUGUGCGAACUUCUUCUCUCCUCCCUCUGGUUUCUUUUUGUCAUCUUCUGGGUGGAGACCAUCAGUGUGUGGCUCUUCCUCUGUAUCUUCUACCAGGAUAGAGCCUUCUACCACUGGGGUGAUGGGGUGUUUGCUGAUGAUCCUGGUCAAAUGUUCUACAUGUGGAGCAGGGCAGAGAGUUCUGGAAACAUGCAGACCUGAGGUUGAGAUAACCAGAGGGCUGGGAAUAUUGCCAAGUGGACCAAACUGAAGAGGAUAAAGUUGGGGAGUCAAUGCAUUUGUGGCUAACAAUUCUGUAAAAUAAAAAAAAGAGAGAAAAGAAAAGGAAAAAAAUCAGACCACCCAGAGCUUGUGAAGCAUCCUUCCUGUAGGAAGGGGUUUUAGACACGGACGGGACUGAGUGCAUGAGGAGGGGGUUUUUGAUGUGGUGUGGUUUAGCAGAAGGAUUAGAGUGGCUUUCUUUGUGCUGAGACCUAGGGGCUGAGGUGCCUGUAACCCUGAACUGACUGUAAUGUUUCCAUAGAAACCUUUUUUUUUCUUUUUUUUUCUUUUUUUAUUAAUGUCAACUCAGCCCCAAAAGCCAUGCAGCUGUAUAGGAAAACCAGUCUUAAGCUUCAGUGCAUACACUCACACACAUAUUUCCACUCUGUUUCUAAUACUUCAUCUGUUCAUCAUUUAUGAAAACGGUGGUCAGUUAUGACACAGCAAAUAUUCUACAUUUUUUCAGCUGUCUGUGCAACAUCACUUAGUCCCCUGCUGCAUUUUGUCCUUCUGUGUGUGUGUGUGUGUGUGUGUGAGUGUGAGAGAGCGCGCACGCGCGUGUGCAAGAGAGGGAAAGACAGAGUGUGAGCAUGGGUGUAUGUGUGUGUGUGUCAGGUGAUCACUAAUGGGGAUUUUGGUACUGCAGGUAUCUGUUCAGGGGGCAGACAUAAGCUAUUAUUUGUCAUAUUUUGUUUGGUGUCAUGAUUUGGUCUGGAGAUCCCUCAACAAAUAGCAUUUCUUUGGAACGCCACUGUGGGUCAGGAUGAUUUCUGCCCAUUCAGCGACUCUGAUGUCUGUCAUUUGUGCAAUGACUCAUACCUGUCGUGUGAUGAACCCUUAGAAAUUGCUGGCAGUUUUUCUUAGUUAUGCAUUUGAAUUUUGUAAGUUUAGGUUCUGUGGAUUAUCUUUUGGUUGAUUGGUGUGAUGGCAUUGAAGGUGAAUGAAUAUUUUAAUAUUUAAAUAUUUACCCAGAAAUGUU